CAAAAUGAACAAAGUUCCAGAUGAUUAACAAAACAUAUUGAAAAUAGUUCUGUAGUUUAUACAGUGUGUGUGGGUGUAUGUGGGUGCAUGUAAUAUAUAUUAAAAGAGGGAAAAAAAAACAAUCACCAAGGCAAAAAUAUCCUUACACAUGGAGUUUCUAUGGAAUCUCCCUUAUUUUUGUUAUUUCUCUUGAACUGCAUGUCUACACAAUAAUGAAUGUCAAUGAGCACUGUUCAUGACUUGAGAAAUAAAUCUCAAUGGGUCUCCUGUUUUCCUGAAGGGCGUCUGAAUAGAGACACUGAUAUCUUUCAUAACAUUUGUUUUGAAGGAUAAGAAUGCUACUUCUCUUCACGGCAAAGGACAGAUUGUUUUUCUCCCCAGAAUAAAAAAUGAAAAAAAAUGUCCUUCUCUGGAACAAAGGUUGGACAUGCUUGGUAGCACCUACAUUUGAAAGAUUGAGAUUUCCCAAACCUGGAGCUGCUCCUCAGCCAUGCCAGCAUAUUGUGUGUGCAGCAUGUAUCUGAGCUGAUCUGCAUUGCCUACUGGGACUUGGUGACAAGGGAAGUCAUUGUGAACAUAAAAUUCAUGCUGCCUCUGUGUGAGAAUGCAAGCUGGGGACGGGCAGAGAGAAAAGGGAGCAGAGAAUCCCAAGCAGGCUCUGCGCUGACAGCAGCAAACCCAUCGUAGGGCUCGAACUCAUGAACGGGGAGAUGAUGACCUGAACUGAAGUUGGAAGGCCAACCGACGGAGCCACGCAGGCUCUCUUUUCACUCUCUUGGUAACAUGGAUGCACAAAAGAAGUGCUCAAAGCUGCUUACUACAUCAUUUUACUUACGUCACUCCUGCGUCUAUUUCUUCCCACUUAGAAAUAUUCCAAAAUGCUAUGUGGAACAACAACAUAUAAAGCAAUCAAGCCACCUCUGUUCAAAAUAUAUGCUUUUCAGUUGUUAAACAGACAUUGAGACAUGUAUCGCUUUCACUGUGACACGGACAAGUCCAUCAUCUUCAGAAGAUCGUUAUGUUUCUUUCCGUUUUUAUAUUUCUAGAUAUUUCCCAGAUAUGAAGUAGAGAUGGGAUCCACAAAAAUACAUUGCUUGAAAAUUAUCACAACAAUAUCAUCUUGUUUUAGUAAUUUUUGCAUUUGGUGAAGCAUCUUAACUGUACAUGUUUUGAACAUAUUAAAAUAUUACCCAUCUUCCAAGGAAAAAACGGAUAAAAGCAUAUUUAUUCAUAACAUCAUUUUAAAAUAUUUCAGAGUUCUUGAUAUGGGGCCUGAUUAAUAUUUAUGAUUUAAAAGCUGUAUUUUAUAGCGGGGAGCCAACCUGGAGUGAGCAGAAUGUUCUCCAAGUCAAAUUCUUGGAGAACCAGAGAAUUCUAAUACAUUGAUGUACAUGCAAGUAUAUUUAUUGAAAACUAAUCAUCCUGUAGCUCUUGUCUUUGAGGCUCUAAUACAUUUCAUUUUAAAUGAUGAACAAUUAGCUGUACUUUGCUAAUCAUCUUAACAUAUGAAUGUUUCUGACUAUGUUUAAUUUUGGAGGAAGGAAAGAAGAUAAGCAGGGAAUUAGAUAUUAGCAUUCUUAUUGUUAAAUGUAAACUUAUUAUUUCCUUACUUCCAUCUCUAAAUAGCCACGAGAAAUCCACAAACUUUUUAAAUCAGUUGUUAGGGUAGAAAAAUGGUAUUUAUGUUUCCCUCUGUCUGAUUAAAUAGAUAGAUAACAAAGAAACUGGAGGAGAUUCUUUAAAUAAAAAGUCUGUAAAUUGCAUUUCAGGAUUUCUGUGUUUAGCACAAUGGAAAUAUUUAAAUAAAUACUCUACUGAGUUAGGUUUUCUAACAACUUAAGAUAGUCCCAGGGAGCUCUUUUGGCAUUUUUGGAACUUAAUAUGUAAGAUAUACACAUGAACAUAAAUAAUCAUAUACACUGUUAGUAUUAUUUUGAGCAAAUUAUUAUCAUCUUAGAUUGAUUAUGAAUAAUCAAUGAUGGCACAGUCUUAAGGCAAGAAUCCCAACCACAGUAUCUGAAGAAAGGAAAUGGAAUGAUUUGGAAAUGGGAGUGGUUGUCUGUGAAGAAUUCUUUUCCCUGAGGCUUGGGGACAGACAGGGUUUCCUGGCACAAAGUAUAUCAGGUAGGGACAUGUGAGAGGAACAAAGUCUCUACCCCAGAAGCUUUUAGUGAGAGCAAUAUCUUCAGGGGACAUCUAAGUUUUAUUAAAGGGAAGAAGGUGACUAAGCCAUCUAGGAGUAUCAUUUUCUAUCAGAGGCCUUUUAAAAAUGACUCAUUUAAUUCAAUUCAUAGCCUCAUUUUAAUGAUACUCAAUUGUAUAACUUUCUUUGCUUUAAUUCACUGUUCUUUCCAUACUUUGUGAAAUUUCAUUUAUUUAUUUGAUUGUUAUUUUGUUUUA